CCUCGAGCUGCACCAGGGCAGGUUUAGAUGGAGCUGAGGAACAAUUCCUUCCCCAGAGGGUGCUCAGGCAUUGGAACAGGCUGCCCAGGGCAGGGCUGCAGUCACUGUCCCUGCAAGUGCUCACACACUGUGGAGACGAGGCCUCAGUGCCAUGGGUUAGUGCUGGCCUUGGCAGUGCUGGGAAUGGUUGGACUGGACGCUCUUGAAGGACUUUUCAACCUCAUUGUCUCUAUGGCUCUAAAGGGGGCGGGCUGGCAGCGCGAGGCUGUGGACCCCAUGGGAAGCACGGGGAGGUGAGGGGCUGGAGGUGAGCGUCCAGAAGGGCGAGCACUGAGCUGUGUCCAUGGGGACAGGGGGACUCCGGAGGCCCCCUGAACUGCCCGUUCGAGGAGCGCUGGGAGGUGGCCGGAAUCGUCAGCUUUGGCUCGGCGCUGGGCUGCAACACGCUGAGGAAGCCGACGGUGUUCACCCGCGUGUCCGCCUACAUCGACUGGAUCAACGAGACAAUAAGCAGCAACUGAAGAUGCGGCGCGAGGGGCAGCGCGUCUCGAGCGUGAUAAAGGCACAAGUGCUGA